rfam:Gordonia soli NBRC 108243 DNA, contig: GS442.
AUCGGUCCUCGGUAGUGGCCGCCGGAGCACAGGGUUCCGGCCGCUUCGAUCGAAGGCCGUC